ensembl:lncRNA
UUUUUUUUUUUUUUUUUUAAGACAGACUCGCUUUGUUGCCCAGGCUGGAGUGCAGUGGCACAAUCUCAGCUCACUGCAACCUCCGCCUCCCAGGUUCAAGUGAUUCUCAUAUGCCUCAGCUCCCAAGUAGCUAGGAUUACAGGCGUGCGCCACCAUGUGCAGAAAAUUUUUUUAUUUUUGACAGAGACAGGGUCUCGCCGUGUUGGCCAGGCUGGUCUCGAACUCCUGACUUCAAGUGAUCCACCCGCAUCGGCCUCCCAAAGUGCUGGAAUUAAAGGUGUGAGCCACUGUGCCCGGCCCCAUUGAUCACAUUAUCUGUGCAGUUCCUCCUUGCCUGGUUGUUAGGCCUCAAGCCAACAUUCUCAAUUGCACGUUAUGAUUGUGACAGCUCAUGCCAUGGGGCGUGCUUACCUUGAGUGCCAGGGCCUGUGCUAAAUACUCCCCAGGUACCGACUCACUCAGUGAACCCACAGCCUUAAGAGGUCGGGACUGCUCUGGCCCUUGCUGUAGAAUGAGGAAGUGUAGCCCAAUGGAGGCUAAAGCCACUUGCCUAAAGCCCUGUGCUGGAAGUGGUGGUUCCUGAGGCCCUGGCUGUAGCCACAUGGUGACACUGCCUCCCAUGAGGAUGCCUGGCUGUGGACUGAAUACUCUGCAUAAGAUGACCUCAGUGAAUUACCAUCUUUCUCUCUCCCUCCAGCCCAAACUCAACGAGGCAGGUAUUUGAAAAAUGAAGAGCCUGAGGAAGGAGGUGAAGUCACCUGCCUGAGGCCACGCAGCUAGUGCAGGGUGGGGCCUGGACACAGCUGCCUGCAGUGUGACUCCAAGCCAUCAGCUGCAAGGCUCCAUGGCCUCACACCCAACUCCAAACGCCCCAAACCCCACCCCGGUCCCAGCAAGCCCCCAAGAGAGAUCUGUCUCCAGCUCCAAAGCAUCAGGUGGAGGGUCAUCUGUGCGACAGGUCAUUGUCACAGGGCUGUCUUGAGUGAAAGGAGCCUCUGGAACUCCAGGGCAGGGAGCUCAGCUGCUGCAUUCCUGGGGACAGUGACUCUGCACAGCCCCUGCCAAGCCAUCUGCACAAUGGGCCCACUGAACUCACAUGCAGGUGGGGUACAUAAGCCAGCCCAGGGCUUUCCAGGGUGACAGCAGCUGACCGGCCACAUAGCUUUCUCCCUGCCUUCAGGUUUUCCUCCAUGGCCUUUGCUCUGGGGAUGUGGGGAGGCAGUUCUUCCCAGAGCACCAGGAAUGGGAACGUCUGCUCCUUUCCAUGCUGGCAGGGUCUUCCUCCCAUCCCCAGAGAGCUCAGCCAGUUUGGCCCUGUCCAGCCAUCUGAUGUGUCCACAGAGUGCUUAAGAGCGUGGAAUUGGAAGCCAGAUGGACUGGGUUCAAAUCCCAGCUUUGUGACUUUUUUUUUUUUUUUUUAAGGUCAGUAAGCUCUUUCUCUUCUCUUCUCUCUUCCCUCCCCUCUCCUCCCAUUCCCCCUCUCCCUCCCUUCCUCUCUAUUCCCCUCCUUUCCCUCUCUUCUCUUCUUCGAGAUAGAGUCUUGCACUGUUGCCCAGGCUGGAGGGCAGUGGCACAGUCUCAGCUCACUGCAACCUCCGCCUCCCGGGUUCAAGCGAUUCUCAUGCCUCAGCCUGCCGAGUAGCUGGGAUUACAGAUGCCCACCACCAUGCCUGGCUCGUUUCUAUAUUUUUAGUAGGGACAGGGUUUCACCAUGUUGGCCAGGCUGGUCUCAAACUCCUGACCUCAGGUGAUCCACCCACCUCAGCCUCCCAAAGUGCUGGGAUUACAGGCACGAGCCACCGCACCGGCUUCUCUUUUUAAUCAAAAAAAAAAAUUAUAAAAUUUUUUGUAGAGACAGGGUCUAUGUUGCCCAGGCUGCUCUCGAACUCCUGGGCUCAUGCAAUCCUCCCUCCUAGGCCUCCCAAAGUGCUGAGAUUACAGGCGUGAGCCACCGCACCUGGCCUUGACUUUUCUCUUGAGUGAGAUGCAGCCAUGGGAGGUUCUGAGCAGGGGAGGGCCAUGACAUCAGGUGUUCACAGACCCCACCUGGCUGAGUAUGGAGGACAGACCACAAGGGGUAGGGCAGGAGCCAGGGGGAUAAGGAGAGACUGCUGCCUUAGGCCAGUGGGAGCCAAGGAUGGACAGGACCAGCAUGGGGACUGUAGGAGGAGGGGAGAAGAGAGUGAAUUUGGGACGAUUUCCAAAGGAGAUAAUGCCACCAAGCCUAGAAUUUUCUCUACUGUUAUUAAAAGGGACUUUAUGGUGACUUCAUUCUGAUUCCCACUCUCCCAACACAAACACCCAGCUUGGUUUAUUAUCCUUUCCCCACUUGCUAGUCCAGCCACACCCACCAUUUACUGAGCGGUAAGGGCGCUGGGGCAGUGUCUGUCAAAGCGCGGCAGACGGGAGAUGCACCAAGAGCUUGUAUCCCCACUAGGGCCCUGCCCCAAACUAAAGUGGCCAUGACUGCUGCUGUAGGACCUGAGCAUCGAUGUGCGUGACCAGCGGGCCCAGCAGGUCCCAGGCAUGGUGCAGUUUGAGGGUGUGAGGCCGCUGGUAACCAGCUAGGGAUAACACUGCCCCACCUCUAUUCCAGGGGACAUUUGGAGACACUUUUGAUGAUCCCCGCUGGAGGUGCUGUUACUGGCAUCUAGUGGGUAGAGGCCAGGGAUGCUGCUAAACAUCCCAUAAUGCACAGGACAAUCCUGACAUCAAAAAGUGAUCUAGCCCCAAAGCUCAACAGUGUCAGGGUGCACAAACCCUGGUCUAGGCUCGCAAAUCCUAAUGGGCAGUCAAUCACCAAGAGGUCUGGUAAAGAUGCAGCUAGGGAUUCAAAGUGCGUGUCCCACAUUCUACAUAUCUCAAAAGCAG